AAACACAUUCUUCAUGUUUUACACGUGCUCUGAAAAUUUAAAAUGAGCUUCAUCUUCAUUCUCUUCCCUCCACCGCAUCGGAGCUUACCACCGGCGGCGGUGGAGCCACCAUACAAGAAAUCACUUAUAACAAAACAAUAUAAAUUCUAUGCUCAGUUCAAAUCCAUAAAAGAAUUCACCUAAUUCCUCGUAAAAAUUCUAGAUCGAAGAAAAAGAUGCAAGAACCCUAAAUCCAAGAACAAAAACUAAAUGAUGGAUGUGUGGAAUCAAAGCCCUAGACGUUAGGGCUUUGAUUCAUAUCAACAAGCUCUACAUUAUGGUAACUUGUUCGAGUCAAAUUGAUGAAGAUGAAAGGAAGUAAUCACCGGAGCAGGUGCCAGAAAUUCCAGUGUGGUGGAUUUGCUGCCAUGUUGAAUGUGGAAUGUAUUAUUGCAGGAUGUGGAUUGGUGUCAUGUUGAUAAUAUACCAAGGUUGAAAGGUCAAAAAUCAAGCCAACAAUCUUUUCCUUAAGAAAUAUAGUAAAUAACCAUGAAGGAGAAGAAGAAUUAUUGGCUUGAUGUUUGGAUUGGUGUCAUGUUGAAGAAGAAUUAUUGGAUUGGUGUCAUGUUGAUAAUAUACCAAGGUUGCAAGGUCAAACAUCAAGUCAACUUAAAAAAAAUGAAAUUUUGAUAUUUUAUUUUGUAAAGAACAUUGUUUAUGCUAAUUUAUGAAUAAAUGACCAUUAUUUGAAUGAAAAG